AGCGCAGGCGGGAAGACAAGUUGGAAGUGAAAUCUAUGGGCUCAACCCAUAAACUGCUUUCAAAACUGUUUUUCUUGAGUAGUGCAGAGGUAGGCGGAAUUCCCGGUGUAGCGGUGGAAUGCGUAGAUAUUAGGAGGAACACCAGUUGCGAAGGCGGCUCUCUGGACUGUAACUGACGCUGAGGCACGAAAGCGUGGGGAGCAAACA
rnacentral:rRNA from 1 species